rnacentral:rRNA from 1 species
UACGUAGGUGGCAAGCGUUGUCCGGAUUUACUGGGCGUAAAGAGCGCGCAGGCGGUCGUUCAAGUCGCGUGUGAAAGCCCCCCGGCUCAACUGGGGAGGGUCACGCGAUACUGAUCGACUCGAAGGCAGGAGAGGGGUAGUGGAAUUCCCGGUGUAGUGGUGAAAUGCGUAGAUAAUCGGGGAGGAACACCAGUGGCGAAGGCGACUACCUGGCCUGUUUCUUGACGCUGAGGCGCGAAAGCUAGGGGAGCAAACGGG